UACAGAGGGUGCGAGCGUUAAUCGGCAUUACUGGGCGUAAAGCGUGCGUCGACGGUAGCGUAAGUCAGAUGUGAAAGCCCCGGGCUCAACCUGGGAAUUGCAUUUGAGACUGCUCUGCUCGGGUGCGGAAGAGGGAAGCGGAAUUUCCGGUGUAGCGGUGAAAUGCGUAGAUAUCGGAAGGAACACCAGUGGCGAAAGCGGCUUCCUGGUCCGACACCGACGUUCAGGCACGAAAGCGUGGGGAGCAAACAGG
rnacentral:rRNA from 1 species